rnacentral:lncRNA from 1 species
AUUCAAAGCAUUACUAUGAAGAGAACAUCACUCGAUUUAAAUGCUUAAACUCAUAGAGUUUUCUAACCUAUAUAACAUUUACGCCCCUUUAGAUCAUCUUUAAAUAAUGCUUAAAGAUAUUUCGUCCGAAGUGAUGUUUAAAAAUUGGAGGGUUGAGAAACAUAGUGACACGACCAAGUAUAAAAUAAGCAGUUGUAAGAGAAGAGGAAUUAAAAUAAAAGAUAGGGGAUAUUAGAAUAUAUAUAUAUGAUUUGCCAAACAGAAAAAUUGCAAAGGAUCCUUUAUAC